rnacentral:rRNA from 1 species
GACGAACGCUGGCGGCGUGCUUAACACAUGCAAGUCGAACGGAAAGGCCCUGCUUUUGUGGGGUGCUCGAGUGGCGAACGGGUGAGUAGCACGUGAGUAACCUGCCCUUGACUUUGGGAUAACUUCAGGAAACUGGGGCUAAUACCGGAUAGGAGCUCCUGCUGCAUGGUGGGGGUUGGAAAGUUUCGGCGGUUGGGGAUGGACUCGCGGCUUAUCAGCUUGUUGGUGGGGUAGUGGCUUACCAAGGCUUUGACGGGUAGCCGGCCUGAGAGGGUGACCGGCCACAUUGGGACUGAGAUACGGCCCAGACUCCUACGGGAGGCAGUAGUGGGGAAUAUUGCACAAUGGGCGGAAGCCUGAUGCAGCAACGCCGCGUGCGGGAUGACGGCCUUCGGGUUGUAAACCGCUUUCGCCUGUGACGAAGCGUGAGUGACGGUAAUGGGUAAAGAAGCGCCGGCUAACUACGUG